UCAUCCAGUUCAUCAUAUGCACAACUGAGUUACUUAUAUCUUAAUAAAAAAUAUAUAUAUUUUAACUAAUGUAAGUGGUCUUCUCAUUGUUGUUAUAUCUUUACUUUCUUCUAUAAGUUGAAAUUGAUUAUAGCAUGAAUACAAAUCAUUCAUUGUAUAGAUGGCCUUUCCUACAAAUGCUUUAGCAAAUUCAUCUAUUAUAGGUCCAAUUCCUGUAUUUUGAUAGUUUUUGCAUUCACUAAUUGCAUAUCUUGAAUAAAUUGUAAUGAUCCAUUUUUCUUAGGUAUUGUAAACUACCAACUAGAAUAUAGUGCAAAAGAAGGCUCCAAAAUCUUCGUCUUCAUUUUUUCUUUUAAUAAUUCAACCAAGCUUGAUAAAUAUGCGUUUGGUACCAGAAUUAGCCUUAAAUUCCAAGGCACAUGUGGUACAGUGAAAAUAACCAUAGGCGUUAUAAUAUUUGGAUCCACACAC
rnacentral:lncRNA from 1 species